AAACUACAGAAAGUAAGUGUUCUGCAGUUUGCUUGUGGUAACACAGUUUUGCAGCAUUUUAAUUGGCUGUGAAUAUUUCUGGGAUUCAGUGAGUGGUUGUGCUGCUCAUAAGAGAAGGUUUAAAAAUAGACGAGUCUUCUAUCAAAGACUUAAACUUCAACGUUGGUAUUGAUUGCGUCGCAACACAGCAACAGAGAAAGACCAAAUGAUUGCUCUUCCCCUGACCGCCAUCGUCUUUGCCGUAGCCCUCGUUCAAGGGCAGCAACGAGAGUUUUCUUAUGGCAAACACGUGGCCAGUGACUUGGAGGCGGUUGGCUGUGGGCCCUGUGAGCAGAACAGCGAUAUGACUGCAUACAACAUCUUUGUCAAAAGGCACAUCCUGCAAGAAAACUUUGAGAGAUCUUCUCUGAAGGCAUGGAAAAGUUACCUGGAAAGUCAUGGACUCUGUGGCAGAGUUCCAGUGCAGUCCUUCAUCGAAGCUGGUGAGAAUGAGGUCCUGCAGAUCUGUCGUGAUGCCGGUCGGCGUGUGAAAGGUAACUUGUGCAUCAGUGAAUCACUCAUGACUGUACAUGAUGUUAAAUCCCAAAAAAUGGUGCACUGCAACGUUUCAAGUGUAAACUCUCCCAAAAGAAAAGUGAUUGUAGCAUGUGAUAAGAUUAAUAACCUGUGCUUCCCUGUCCAUUAUCAGACAUAUGGCUACCAACAGCCAGGAAAUGAAACGUGCAACAAAUA